GAUCCUGGCUCAGAACGAACGCUGGCGGCAUGCCUAACACAUGCAAGUCGAACGCUUGUCUUCGGACAAGAGUGGCGCACGGGUGAGUAGCGCGUGGGAACCUGCCCUGUUGUGGGGGAUAACCGAGGGAAACUUCGGCUAAUACCGCAUGCGCCCGGGAAACCGGGGAAAGAUUUAUCGCCGAAAGAUCGGCCCGCGUCUGAUUAGCUAGUUGGUGAGGUAACGGCUCACCAAGGCGACGAUCAGUAGCUGGUCUGAGAGGAUGAUCAGCCACAUUGGGACUGAGACACGGCCCAAACUCCUACGGGAGGCAGCAGUGGGGAAUAUUGGACAAUGGGCGCAAGCCUGAUCCAGCCAUGCCGCGUGAGUGAUGAAGGCCCUAGGGUUGUAAAGCUCUUUUGUGCGGGAAGAUAAUGACGGUACCGCAAGAAAUAAGCCCCGGCUAA
rnacentral:rRNA from 1 species